AUGGCGACCGCCGGCUGUACCGGCCGCUGGGUCCCGCUUGCCCUCGCCCUGCUACUCGCCGCCGUCUUCGCGCUGGCGCUCAUCCCGCAGGCCGCCCUCGCCGCGUCCGGCGGCGUCAUGGGCGGCCGCUCCUACUCCUCUUCCGAACCCGACGACUCGUCCUCCUCCAACUCGUAUUCGUUCUACGACUCGUCGAGCCACAUAUCGAUCGGCAGGCCGUCGCGUCGCCGCGCGGCCAAGGACGACGACGACGACAACUCGGAUGUGAUAUUCUGGGUGGUGUUUGUCGGUCUCGUUUUGCUGAUCGCUGCCGUUUGGUACUACUACGAGUACGAACGCCAGAGGACAACCGUGGUUAAGCUCCAGGUUGCCUUGCUCGGCUGGGCCAAACCGUUUCAGAGGGAAUUGAACGAGAUCGCGGAGAGAGUACAGGCUUCCAACAAGCAUUCGUAUAAAUUCAUGUUGACUGAGACCAUAUGUUCCUUGAGCCGUCACAGGGAUUCCUGCGUAUUUUCAAGCUUAUCAGUUAAUGUGAAAAAUGGAGUGGAUACUUGGGAGGCACAUUUCGAUAAACUUUCUAUCAAGGAGAGGAGCAAAUUUGAUGAAGAAACACUUUAUAACUUGGAAGGAAUCAAGCAGACGAAAGAGUACUCCAAAAAGUUAGAUGGCUCCAGAAACGAAUAUAUAGUGGUAACCAUCCUAGUUGCUGCCAAGGGAGCACUGAAGUUCCCAAAAAUCACAAGACCCGCAGAUCUGGAAGCAGUAGUAGAAAAACUCAACUCUAUACCUGCAAGAGAAAUUCAGGGCGUUCAUGUUUUAUGGACUCCUCAAGAUGAGAAUGGCAUUCUUUCUGAAGAGAAGCUUCUAGCGGAUUGUCCUAAUCUCAAGCCUCAUAAUGAUUACUAG
rnacentral:rRNA from 1 species